rnacentral:piRNA from 1 species
UGGUUAUAAAAAGGAAACGUAGUUGUUGG